UAGAUUUGGGCUGAAAACCCUGUAUGCUCCGCACCAUCCGAAUGUAUUCGGAGUUAAGGGGCCACAAAUCAAUGAUAUCACGCUUGAUUUUGAAGACAUCCAGCACAUGUUCCGCCUCACACAACUUGGCAUCGAAAUGGUUCGACUAUGGUGCAUGUAAGUGCCUCAUCGACUUUGUAUUACUUUCUAAAGUAUUGUAUAUGCAUAAAUAUUUAAUGCCAUACAUUAAUUCUACAAGAUGCAAACAAUGGAUGCUAUUAUUUGUAAUCUCAAGGUCCGAUACCUUGAUCCCGUAGAGAUUUGCGAGUCUUUGCACGCUGGGCCAAAAUGGAUGAAGGACGACGAUGAUCAUCUAAAGCAAUUUGAAACAAUGGAGGCCAAAGAUGAGGAAUGCAGAAGAUUUCACGAACUAACUAUGAAGAGGGUUGCAGCCUACAUAGUGAUUAUGAUGGAACAGUGGCAAGACAUGGAUUCCAUAUAUGCGCCAUAUCACGUCCAAGGUCACUGGAUUGCAUUCGAGCUAAAGGCAAAUCUUGGAAGAUUCAUCGUAUAUGAUUCCUUGGACUGGAACACCGACAUAUACUAAAAAUUCAUGGACCUUAUUUAAUUGUGAGUGAAUUUCUUAUCUUUCCUA